rnacentral:lncRNA from 1 species
UCGACAUAUACGUAAGGCUUCCUUGAGAUUCUGAUGAAAUUUGAUUGCAAUACCGACAAGUCCAGCUUUUUCCAGGGAAGUUGAUCACAACGAGCCAAUCGCCACAUAUUACAAACAUGAGCAAGUCCAGCAGACAAUUCAAAAAGGUCAAAAGACUGAAGUAUCUUCACCAAGAUAUCAUUAUCAAGGUCUUCCCAUUUCCUUACAGGAGAAUAUCCUUCCUCCAUCACAAAAACUCCAAUCUCCUAAACUCCUGUAGAAACAAGAAAGGUUAUUACUUCUCUAGAUCCAUCACGAAAAUUUGAAUUCCUGAUGUCAAAUUAAUGUUGUUGAUCACCAUUUUGUAUUCUUGUAUACUUAGACCAUAAAGAAGAAAAAGUUAAGCCAUGCAACACCAAGAAACAUAGAGGAAUGUACAAAUACAUCUGAGGAAUACUGGGAUGCCCAAAAGUGAAGAAACUAGGAAAAUAUGAACUGGAACUUAAGUUGGUUGUAGAUAACAACAGAGAACUAAGUUCUUGCUGCCAUAGCUGUCAGAAGUAUCACAUUUUGGAUAAAAAUAAUCAUUAUUGAAAGCAAAAUUAUACAAAAAAGGAGGAAGUAACAUUGAUUUGUACAAAAAAUUCCCUAAAGAGGAACAUUCAAUGCCCUGAGCAGAAGGACGGAAAAGCUGAAAACUUGUUAUAUAUUUUGAAGAACAAGACAAGUACAAAGAGAACUGGGGAAUGGGACAAGUGUCUGCUGACAAAGAUACAUAUAGUUUCCAGGAAUCAAAUAGAAGGGAAUGCAAAAACUUACUCCAUCCCUUCCUAUUUUACGUGAAUGGGAAUGAAAAUAAAUUAGCUAACCUCAUUGUGGUAUGUUAGCAAAGAGUAGUAGUUGUUAAAAAACUAGGUGGAAGGAAAAAACACCAUGUCAAAGUUUGACUACCAUUCGUUGAAUGAAUUCCUUAAACUUGUGUGGUUCAUACAACAAUAACUAUGCCUUAAUCUCAAAUGUGUGGUUCCUUUGUAACCAUUCGACUCUACCCGGGUUCAAAUUUUCAAUACGACUUAACAACAACUUAAUUGGAGUGAUAUGGAAAUUAAGGAUCAUAUAGCCGACUCUGACUUGUAUGGGAUUGAGGUGGGGUUGUACUUUACAACAACUAUGCUUAAAAGCUAAACUAGUAGAGGUCAGCUAUAGGAACACUCAAUAUCCAUUCUGCUCCAUUUGGAGAAGUUUCAUUCCAAUAUUAAGAUAAUUAUUAAGGAUUCUAUAUUUUUCUUUGAUAAAGAAAAAAAAAAAAAAGAAAAAAAAGGACUCAAGCAACAUAAAAUAUACCUUAGUCCUAACCAUUGAAACUAGUAUGAAUCUUGUGCGUCAUUUAUAUAUUUUUUUGUUUUUUGGCUAAUUCAACAAGAAUCUCAAGAACUUGUAAAUCCUUUGAGACAUUUUUGUCCAUGUGAUUGAAUUGUUACCUCGUCCAUUUUAAAACAUUGAACCAUCACAAAGUCACACUGGUGCAUUUGAACUUCUAAGGUAGUCAUUUCCAAACUAUAAUUAAAAGCCUUCUUUUCUUUUAUCCUCUACAUGUGCUUUUUGUAACUUGGCAUAAUCAUUACUUAUUUUUUCUAGUUUUGUAUGAACACACACCAUCAUACCAUUCAGAUUUUUACAACACUCAUUUUUUUAUAACGUCGGACCUUAGAUACACAACAUUCAUGCAUACACCAUCAUUGGUCUCACAACUGUCUUAUAAAGCCUAUCCUUCACGCUGGUAUGUAUCUGCUUAUCGCAUACCACUCCUCCAUUUCAACUAUAGGGCUUUAACUUAUGUGUUGCGUCUUCGUCUAUCAGACUAUCACACCAUUGACAUGGAAACAGAGCCUAGACAUAUGAAUGAUCUAUGUGAACUCACUUUGAUGAUCUCAGACCUGAAUAAGGAAGUGUUGUUGUAAAUUAACGAUCAAUGUGAUACUAGUUUAUCCUUACAGUAAGGAAUUAAUAAGAGAAAUGGAAUCAAAUAUUUUGUAAUGUCCUAAAAUAAAGUGUCAUAUAAAUUGGGAGAAAUAGAGUGUUGAUAACAACCGUUCAAUAGCAGAACCAAUGAUAGUUAGUAGUGGGAUCUGUGUAUGACUAAAUUCUAAAUUGAAAGCUAAACUAACCAGUAAAACUGAUGACCUGGAAGCCAAUGCCGACCCAACCUCUGUGUGUGUGUGCAGGGGGAGGGGGGAGGUUCAUGUCUACUUAAGCCAUCUCUUACUCAAAUUCACCAGUGAUGUCUGUGAAUUCUCAUUAAAGUUAAGAUCAUGAAUAUCCUACCAAAUACAGUAUAUCCCUCCAACCCAAUAUCUACACUUUUCAAUUGCUUUCCAAAUAAAGUGAGGAAAUUUAAUCAUGAGAUUUUGUUAGGCUGUUCUUUAAACUUUCUUUUCAUAAAUUUGUAAGCUCAAAUGUACUACUCUUUUGCAUCUUCUGGAUGCUUUCAGUGAAACUUUUUACUUCGUCAAAAUAAAUAUAGAAAAAUCUUUCCCAUCAAUCUCUCAAACUACUAAUCAUGUAUCUAGAGUUUACAGGCAAGAUGCCCCGAAACCCAAUUUUCUUUUUGUAAAAAGAAAAGACGGAAUAACCGAAGCACCAUUUGCAUUUAACAUACGCAGGUAAAAAAAUUGAAAUAAUAUUCCAAAAGAAUCUAGUUUCUCAAUUGGAGUACAACGAGAAUUGAAUCAUCGCGAUAACAAAAUGAUAAAUCACAAGUAAAUCAAAACCAAUCUUGACAAAGAUUUAAACUUUAAGAACAAAAAAAUCUGCAUUUGAUCAUACUACACUAAUAAUUGAAACGCUGAAAACCAGAAACAAAACUCAAACAAGUAUAAAUUCAAACCUGUAUGGGUAAACCUCAACUGUUUCUGCAGUUAAAUUCCAUCAAGUACCAAAAAAGGGGGAAAACAUUUCACAAGGUAUACACUGAAUUCUCCUAAAACCCACAACAACUUUUGGAAUCAAGAUCCAACUUGAAUAAGAAAUUAAACCAAAAAACAACCUUAAAGAAUGGAAAAGAAGGAGAGAGAUUUAGGACACGCCUUUAGAACAUAGGUAAACUAUUGUGAAUAACAUACAAAGGUUGGAUAGUUGGUUCACUUUAUAGUGUGUAAACGAAUGGGUGAAACAUGAGGAAUGAUAGUGUAGCUGUGAUGAUGAGUGAGAUUCGGAUACGCGGAAAUGACGAUAAUAACCCUCAUACAUUAGCAGGUGCCCAGCUGUCAAACAUUAAUCUUAUUGAGAGCAUCCACAUAUAAGUGUCCUCAUAUCUACACCUACUAAAAUUUGAUUCUGGUCAACAGUUUUAACCUUUUUUUUGCUUAUUAUGAGAAUAGCUAAAAGUACCAUCUUUUCUACAUGUUUUUGACAAAUGAAAAGAAUUUUAUUUUCUUCCUAUAUAGAAAAUAUUUGUAUUAAAAAUUCUCUUUAAGAAGGUGAACUAAUGUUAUAGAUUUUUUUUCUUAAUUCUUAUUGGGAUUUUGAAGAGAAUUCUUAGUAUACAUUUUCAUAAUCACGCUUCACUUUAUUAUUUAGGUUUUCAGCAAAAACGUACACGCUUUUCUUUACUCGAAAAAAACAGUUGAAUUUGUUAUGAGGUUAAGGUCACGUAGAAUGAUUGACUUGCGAAAUAGAGAUCAAGUAUAUAUGUAGUUUGGCAAGCGUGUAAAGAACGCCAAUAAACACUGAACUCUUCCCUGGCACUAGAAAAUCACCCUACUACCCAUUCUCUCCUCCGGGAAUCUUAUAGUAUGAAAAUCUCACCUAACACCCAAGUAAUAUCCCUGGGUCUUAUUGAUCUCCCCUUGCAUGGUGCAACUUAUACAUGGACAAGGGGAGAGGACUUUCUGCAGGCUUCCAGAAUUGAUAGGUUCUUAAUUUCCGCUGAAUGGAAUGAAUUCUUUGGAGUUGUGAAGCAGGUGGCCCUACCAAGGGUUCUCUCCGACCACAGUCCCUUAGCCCUAGAGAGUGGCGAUUGGACUUCUGAUCCUUCCUACUUCAAAUUCGAGAACAUGUGGCUGCAGCAUGAAGGUUUUCAUGAUAUGGUCAAAAAAUGGUGGCAAGGUUAUAUAGUAAAUGGCUCUCCAGACUUUAUACUCUCCCAAAAAUUAAAAUUUUUGAAGAAAGACCUUGUUACCUGGAACAAGGAGGUCUUUGGUAAGCUAAAUUCCAGAAUCAGUAAAGCCAUGGAUGAUCUUCUGCUGACUGAACAAGCAACUGAAGGAAGGGUCCGGUCUCAAGUUGAAAAGAACAAAAUAUUGCAAUUACAACUAGAGAUUCAACAAUUAGCAAAGGCAGAGGAAACCUCUUGGAGACAAAAAUCGCGGUGUCUAUGGUUAAAAGAGGGGGAUAGGAAUACAAAAUACUUUCAAAGAAUAGCCAACUCCCACAGGAGAUACAACCACAUUGACAGAUUGCAGGUAGGAGAUGACCUCAUUGAAGGAAAAGAGCAGGUGAAAGAGGUAAUUCUUGACUUCUACCAAGAGUUAUACUCUGAAAACGAAUCAUGGAGGCCUACUGCUUCUUUUGAGGGCCUGGGCAGUUUGAGUUCUGAAGAGAAGAAUGCUUUGGAGCAGGCCUUUGAAGAAGAAGAAAUAUUGAAUGCAAUCAACUCAUGUGCCCCAGACAAAAGUCCAGGGCCAGAUGGCUUCUCUAUGGGGUUUUAUCAGAAGUGCUGGGGAAUUAUCAAGCAAGAUAUUUUGGGUGCGCUCAAUCACUUUCACAACAAUUGCCACAUGGUGAAAUCUUUUAAUGCCUCUUUUAUUGCACUUGUCCCUAAAAAGAAAGGUGCGAUAGAACUUAAGGAUUUUAGGCCUAUCAGUCUUAUUGGUAGUGUGUACAAAAUUUUGGCCAAAGUGCUCUCAGAAAGGCUAAAGAAGGUGAUUGGGAAUCUAGUCUCUGGUUUUCAGAAUGAUGCUUUUGUUCAGGGAAGGCAAAUCACUGAUGCAACACUUAUUGCCAAUGAAGUUCUAGAUUGGAAGCAGAAAAGUGGUACUCCAGGACUGCUUUUUAAACUUGAUAUUGAGAAGGCGUUUGAUAAAUUGAGUUGGUCCUUCCUUAUUUCAAUCCUAAGGCAAAUGGGAUUUGGAGAGAGAUGGAUUCGGUGGAUCAAGUAUAGCUUCUCCACCAUAAAGUAUUCUGUACUAGUGAAUAGAAGUCCUGUGGGUUUUUUCUCUCCCGGUAGAGGCAUCAGACAAGGGGAUCCCUUAUCACCCUUCCUUUUUAUUCUGGCUAUGGAGGGUUUGAGUAGGAUGUUGGAGAAGGCUAAACAACUUCAAUGGAUAGAAGGCUUUGAGGUGGGCAAUGGUUAUGGUCCACCAGUCUCGAUCUCACAUCUUUUAUUUGCUGAUGACACCUUGGUUUUCUGUGGAGCUAAGAAAUCUCAAGUGCAAUAUCUUAGUCUCACCCUUAUGCUCUUUGAAGCAUUGUCAGGUCUCCACAUCAACAUGUCUAAGAGCACUAUAUACCCUGUAAAUGAGGUCCCUGAUCUGGAAGACAUGGCAGCUAUCAUGUGUUGCCCUACUGGCUCCUUUCCCACCACUUACUUGGGUAUGCCUUUGGGUGCUAUGAAUAGAUCAUCUCAAGUUUGGAAUGUGAUUGUGGAAAAGUUUGAGAGAAGGUUAGCCUCCUGGCAACAACAAUACCUCUCUCUAGGGGGAAGAUUAACACUCAUCAAUAGUGUAUUGGACAGCAUUCCCACCUAUUUUAUGUCCUUACUCCUUAUGCCAGCUAAGGUGAAACAGCGACUUGACAAAAUCAGGAGAGACUUUCUCUGGAAAGACAACAACAAGGACCACAAAAUUCACCUUGUUAAAUGGGCCAAAGUCACUUUGCCAAAACAAUAUGGAGGAUUGGGGAUAAAAGACUUGGCCUUACAUAACAAGUGUUUGCUAUUGAAGUGGCACUGGAGAUACAAUCAAGAGGCGGCUGGCUUGUGGAAGGAAGUGAUCCAAGCAAAGUAUGGUAGUGAUAGUCAUUGGUGCUCUAAUAAAGUCAGUACCUCUUAUGGCACGGGGGUCUGGAGAGAUAUAAGGAAACUGUGGGAAAUAUUCUUCAGUGAUGCCUCACUUAUGGUGGGAAAUGGGGAACAUAUUCAGUUUUGGAAAGAUAUUUGGCUAGGAGACACUCCUCUAAUGAAUGCUUUCCCAAGCAUUUUCCAGAUUGCAUCUCAUCCAGACUCAACCAUCUUGCAGUACAGGGAAGACAAUGUGUGGAAUCUGAUCCUAAGGAGAAAUCUUAAUGACUGGGAGUUGGAAGAGGUUUUUAGCCUUAUGGCCACCAUUCAGACUAGUGCAAUCAACAGUCAACGCAGGGACAAACUUAUCUGGAGACAUAGCAGGGAUGGAUCCUACACAGUUAAAGCAUGCUACCUUCAACAAAGCUCCAAGAAGACCGUAAUUGAUCAAUGGCCAUGGAAAUUAAUCUGGAGAACUAAGUUGCCACCUAAAGUUAUUUGUUUCAGUUGGAUUACUCUAAAAGACUCUUGCUUGACUCAGAAUAAUCUCAUGAGGAGGAAAUUCCAAAUAGUCAACAGAUGCUACAUGUGCUUGUGCAACUCAGAAUCUAUUAAUCACUUGUUCCUUCAUUGCACAGUUGCAACAGGCCUAUGGAACAUGUUCUUCUCAUUUUUUGGACUCACUUGGGUCAUUCCAAGAUCAUUGAGAGAGGUUUUUGUGUGUUGGAGUUCUUGGAAAGUUGGGAAGUCCGUCAAGCAGAUCUGGUCUUUGGUUCCAGCCUGUAUUUUGUGGUGCUUAUGGACGGAGAGUAACAAAAGAUGUUUUGAUGGCACCCCAACUCCCAUCUCUACCUUUAAAGCAAGAUGUUUGAUUACUCUUUUUGGUUGGGGUUAAUCUCUCUCCUGUACUUAGUGUCGAUUCUUUCCUAGAAUUUAUCAGCUCCAUAGAUCUCUGCUGUUAGCUGUUUAGAUAGCUUUUUUUUUGCCUUUUUGGGAGCUGAUAUUUCUUUCUUUUGUAAUCUGUGCAUCUGCUUGAUGCUUUGUUAAUGACAUUCUUCUUACUUAACCAAAAAAAAAAAAAUUUAUCCCUUCUCCACAAACCUACCCCUAAUUCCUCCCAAUAUAUCUCUUUGGAUACCCCAUAUCUCCAUAUAUCCCUUCCCACCACAAUGGAUUUCUUCCCGAUGUCGUGGGAGUUCAUAAAACCAAUAUUUUGGGGGCAAUCAAUCACUUCCACUAACACUGCUAUAUGGUGAGAUCAUGUAAUGCCACUUUCACCUCAUUGAUUCCUAAGAAGAUUGAGGCUAUGGAAAUGAGAGACUUUAGUCCUAUAAGUCUUCUUGGCAGUGUCAAUAACAUAGUGGCCAGACUUUUAGCAGAAAGGUUGAAGAAGGUAGUUGGGAAACUGGUUUCCAGUCACCAAAUGCAUUUAUCAAGGGAAGACAAGUAAUUGAAGCAUCCUUAAUUGCUACUGAGGUCAUGGAUUGGAGGAUUAAACCAGGAGUCUCUGGAUUCAUGUGCAAGCUUGAUUGAGAAAAGGCUUUUGACAAGUUAAAUCGAUUUUCUAUAUGAAGAAAAUGGGCUUUGGCACCAAAUGGCUUAAAUGGAUCAGAUAUUAUAUCUUCAUAGUCAAAUACUCAAUCUUGAUAAGCAAAGGACCAAUGGGGGUUUUCUCUCCACAUAAAUGAAUCAGAAAAGCUAAGCCUCUCUCCCCAUUUAUGUUGAUCUUGGCUAUGGAAGGACUACGCAAGAUGUUGGAAAGGCUAGAUAGUUGCAAUGGAUACAUGGAUUUAGAGUGGGUUCAAACUCAGGAAACACUUUGACCGUUUCUCACUUACUAUAUGUUGAUGACACUCUAAUUUUUUGUGAUGCAAAGAAGUCCCAAGUCCUCUAACCUGAAUCUUACACUUAUGCUUUUUGAAACUUCAUCAGGUUUACACAUCAACAUGUUGAAGAGUAUUAUCUUACCCCGUUAAUGAUGUCAAUAACACAGAGGAGCUUGCAGAAAUUUUGCGGUGCAACAUUGCUUCACUACCUAGCACUUAUUUAGGUAUCCCUUGGGUGACAAAUUUAAGUUUGUCAUAUUUGGAACGGGGUGGUGAAGAAAUUUGAGAAAAUAUCAGAAAAUAUCAUUUACUUGGAAACUUCAAUAUCUCUCUUUGGGUGGAAGACUUACACUUAUCAAUAGUAUUCUAAUUAGUAUACCAACCUAUUUUAUGUCCAUAUUUCCCAUCCUGAACAAUGUGCGAGGAUCAAGAAACAUUUCCUAUGGGAAGGUGUUAUUUUAAGCUGAUUUGAAGUUUUGAUGAUUUAACAAACUUCUGGAUUUAACAAGGUACCUAGUCAAGAAAAGACUGUACGUGAAAAAGACAACAUGACAGUUGUCUAAAAGCUACCACAACUGCCAACAUGUCUUUUCAUAGCAGCAGGCUCAGCCAAUGGCUUUGUCCCAAGGGGUUUGUGUCCAUUUGAUAAUAGUCUCUUCUCCAAAAACUCAACAUAAGUUUUGGAAAACAAAGUUUUAAAUUUUGAAAAUUCAUAAGCUUACAAAGAAAAAACCAUCUUCAAGAAAGAACACUGCUCAUACUCAACAAGGGACCUGAUGCCUCAUGGAGUGCUGAAGCGUCUUUGUUGUAUUUUGAGCUUUGUGUUUUGUGUUCUUAUAUUGUAAAUCUACUCCUAAGUUAUAAAAGAUAGUAGAUCGGCUGCUUGUCUAAGUCUUUAGGUUGAGUCGUAUUAACUAGAGUUAGUUAGUCGAAUCAUCUAUGUUUUAGUCAAGCCUCCUUACAUCAUUGUUUUGAUGUUCUCUUGGGUAGAGUUGCUUAAGAGUGACAACUAGAGUUAGUUGAUGUGUGGGUGCAGUAGAGUUGCUACUUGUUUAUGCUCUUAUCUUCAAGAUCUGAGUUGGUGGCUAGAGUUAGCCUUGUUGGGUUCUUGAAGUCUAGAUCAACUAGAGUUAGUUGGUUUAGUGGGCAAUAGAGAAAUUGCUUAGUUUCCUUUGUAGUAGAGUUGCUACAGUAAGAGGGAAGGGAUUAAGAGUUUAAUUCCUAGGUUACAAGAGUUUGUAAAGCUCUGUUUUGAGAAAUGGAGUUUGGGUUAAGAUGUUGUUAGUACAGGUCGUGGUUUUCAUCUCCCUUGAGCAAGGAAGUUUCCACGUAAAAUCCUUGUGCUUGAUGUACUUUGAGUUAUUUAUUUUCCGCACUAUUAUUCUGUCGAGGGACCUAGUCCAGUGAUCACUGGUUGACGCAUACAUUCUAACAUAAGGCAAUAGCAACACUCACAAGUUCCACCUGAUAAAAUGGGACCAAGUUUUGCUUCCAAAAUGCAAUGGGGGUCUUGGGGUUAAGAUCUGGCAAUUCAUAACAAAUCCUUAUGAAAUGGCAUUAGAGAUUUGGCUCUGGUGAUGGUAGCCUCAUGAAGGAUGUGAUCAUUGCUAAACAUGGUAGGAAGUACAACUGGAGUUCUAACACCGUAAAUCUGCCUUAUGGAGUUGGGCCUUGGAAAUAUAGUCUCUAAAUUCUCUGAUGGAAUUCCCUUCAAACCUGGGGAUGGUGUGUAUAUCAAGUUCUAGAAGGAUUGAUGGUGAAACAAUACAACUUUCAUGGAGGAAUAACCCAAUUUCUUCAACAUUGCUAUGGAUAAGGACUCCUCAAUUGCUCAAAACAGGACCAACAACACUUGGGAUGUGCAUUUGAAAAGGUUAUUGCAGGACUUGCAACUUGGGAGUUUGAUCGAAAUGUUAGCAAAGGUGGAAGCUCACAAUUUUGAUGAAAGUAAACCAGAUAGGCUAAGGUGGGGAGGCAAAGGUAUAUUCACAGUGAAAGAAAGAUAUACACAAGUAUCCUAACAAAGUCAAGUACCUGAUAAAUGGCCAUGAAAGCUAGUAUGGAAGACCAAUCUACCUAUGAAGAUUAAAUGCUUCAGCUGGAUCACACUAACCAAUGCUUGUCUUACUCUAGACAACCUGAAUAGGAAAGCAUUGCAGUUGGUCAACAGAUGCUAUUUUUGCAAGAUAGUUCAGGAGAGAGUCAGCCACCUCUUCCUUCACUGCCCAUUAGCAUAUGAUCUCAGAAAUAUGUUCCUAUGUUUUUUUAAUUGAAGUUGGGUGAUGACACAAAGAUUCAGAGAUGCUCAGACUACAGACAGUUGGCAAGACCAUCUGCAAGAUCUAGAAUCAACACCAAUGCUAUACAGACUUUUUAAGUUAUUAACAUUUUUGUUACCUCUUGGACUAUAAAUUCAUUUAGAUUGAAAAAUCCUCCAUUGAAUAUAUGAAAAUAUUUGAAAUACCUUGUUGAGAGACACGUGGGAAAUGAAAAAGUCUUAAAAUGAAUCCAUCAAACACAACGAGUUCAUGGUGGUUCAAGAAAUUCUACAAAUAUCUAAUAAUUUAGGUAUGAAACUCACAAAACAAUGACAGUUUGAAAGAGUUUGAACUAUCACACAGCAAAAUUUCCAUUCAUGUACUACCACUUGAAACUCUUUGGAGGAGCUUCUGAAAUGUGAUCUUAAUAUAACAUGUAAUUAAGGGGUAUUCUGUAAAUACCCAAAAAUUUAGAUAUGAAUUUGUUAUGAGUUUAAGGUCACACAGAUUGAUUGACUUGCAAAAUAGAGAUUAUGUAUAUAUGUAGUUUGGCAAGCGUGUAAAGAACGACAAUGAACAACCAAAACUCUUCCAUGGCACUAGAAAAUCACCCUACUACCUAUUCUCUCCUCCGGGAAUCUUAUAGUAUUAAAAUCUCACCUAACACCCAAGUAAUAUCCCUUCUCCACAAACCUACCCCUAAUUCCUCCCAAAAUAUCUCUAUGGAUCCGUCCCCCACAUCUCCAUAGAUCCCUUUCCACCACAAUGGAUUUCUUCCCGAAGACAUGGGAGUUCAUAAAACCAAUAUUUUGGAGGCAAUCAAUCACUUCCGCUAACACUGCUAUAUGGUAAGAUCAUGUAAUGCCACUUUCACCUCAUUGAUUCCUUAGAAGAUUGGGGCUAUGGAAAUGAGAAACUUUAGACCUAUAAGUCUUGUUGGCAGUGUCAAUAAAAUAGUUUGGUUCUUCCCGAAGUCAUAAGAGUUCAUAAAACCAAAUAUCUUGGGGAAAUCAAUCACUUCCACUAGAACUGCUAUAUGGUGAGAUCCUGUAAUGCCACUUUCACCUCUUUAAUUCCUAAGAAGAUUGGGGCUAUUAAAUGAGAGACUUUAGACUUAUAAGUCUCAUUGGCAGUGUCAAUAAAUAGUAGCCAAACUUUUAGCAGAAAGGUUGAAGAAGGUUCUUUGGAAACUGGUUUCCAUUCACCAAAUGCAUCUAUCAAGGGAAGACAAUAACUUAUGCAUCCUUAAUUACUAAUGAGGUCAUCGAUUGGAGGAUUAAAUCAGGAGUCCCUGGAUUCAUGCGCAAGCUUGAUUAAGAAAAGGUUUUUGACAAGUUAAAUUGAUUCUCUAUUAUGAAGAAAAUGGGAUUUGGCAUCAAAUGGCUUAAAUGGAUCAGAUAUUGUAUCUCCAUAGUCAAAUACUCAAUCUUGAUAAGCAAAGGACCAAUGGGGGUUUUCUCUCCACAUAAAUGAAUCAGAAAAGCUAAGCCUCUCUCCCCAUUUAUGUUGAUCUUGGCUAUGGAAGGACUACGCAAGAUGUUGGAAAGGCUAGAUAGUUGCAAUGGAUACAUGGAUUUAGAGUGGGUUCAAACUCAGGAAACACUUUGACCGUUUCUCACUUACUAUAUGUUGAUGACACACUAAUUUUUGGUGAUGCAUAGAAGUCCCAAGUCCUCUAACCUGAAUCUUACACUGAUGCUUUUUGAAACUUCAUCACAUCAACAUGAUGAAGAGUAUUAUCUAUCCCCGUUAAAGAUGUCAAUAACACAGAGGAGCUUGCAGAAAUUCUGUGGUGCACCAUUGUUUCACUUCCUAGAACUUAUUUAGGCAUCCCCUUGGUGCCAAAUUUAAGUUUGUAAUAUUUGGAACAGGGUGGUGGAGAAAUUUGAGAAAAUAUUAUUUACUUGGAAACUUCAAUAUCUCUCUUUGGGUGGAAAACUCACACUUAUCAAUAGUAUUCUAGAUAGUAUACCAACCUAUUUUAUGUCCCUGUUUCCCAUCCCAAACAAGGUGCCAGGAUCUGGAGACAUUUCCUAUGGGAUAGCAAUAGCUGCAUUCACAAGUUCCACCUGAUAAAAUGGGAUAAAGUUUUGCUUCCAAAAUGCAAUGGGGCCUUGGGGUUAAGAACUGGAAAUUCAUAACAAAUCCUUACUUAUGAAAUGGCAAUGUGAUCAUUGCUAAACAUGGUAGGAAGGACAACUAGGGCUCUAACCGUAAAUCUGCCUUAUAGAGUUGGGCCUUGGAAAAUAGUCUCUAAAUUCUCUCAUGGAAUUCCCUUCAAACCUGGGGAUGGUGUGUAUAUCAAGCUCUAGAAGGAUUGAUGGUAAAACAAUACAACUCUCAUGGAGGAAUAUCCCAAUAUCUUCAACAUUGCUUUGGAUACGGACUCCUCAAUUGCUCAAAACAGGACCAACAACAGUUGGGAUGUGCAUUUGAAAGGUUUUUUUUUGAGAAAGAACUAAGGAGUUUGAUGGAAAUGUUAGCAAAGGUGGAAGCUCAUGGUUUUGAUGAAAGUAAACUAGAUAGGCUAAGGUAGGGAAGCAAAGUUAUAUUCACAGUGAAAGAAUGAUAUACACAAGUAUGUUAACAAAGUCAAGUAGCUGAUAAAUGGCCAUGGAAGCUAGUAUGGAAGACUAAUCUACCUAUGAAGAUUAAAUGCUUCAGCUGGAUCACACUAAACAAUGCUUGUCUUACUCUAGACAACCUUAAUAGGAAAGCAUUGCAGUUGGUCAACAUAUGCUAUUUUUGCAAGAAUAUUCGGGAGAGAGUCAGCCACAUCUUCCUUCACUGCCCCCUUUAGCAUAUGAUCUCUGAAAUAUUUUCCUAUGUUUUUUUACUUGAAGUUGGAUGAUGCCACAAAGAUUAAGAGAUGCUCAUAUGUCUUCGAUUCUACAGGCAGUUGAUAAGACCAUCAAAAAGAUCUGGAAUUUGAUUCCUUCUAUAAUAUUUUGGUGUAUCUGGACCGAGAUGUUUUGAUGGUUCCUCAACUCCCACUUCCACUUCCACUCAUGCACUUGAAGCCAAGCGUCCAGUCAACCUUUUUUGCUGGACAAUGUAGUCCUAGCAUCUAAUAUUGAACAGUUUCUGACUUUCAUUAGCACUCUAGUUUUAGAGCGAGCCAAUGUAUAGGGGCUUAAAAUUCUCUUUUUGUAUUUGUGAGUUUUGUCUCUUUGUCAUUAUGCCCAUGUAAUUGUGCAUCUACUUGAUGCUUUAAUUAAUGGUGAAAAUCAUUUACAAUCCGUUAACUUUGUUUUAAGAAUCAAACUCUCCGCUCAAUUUUGAACAAUAGACAUUCUUACCCCCUUAUCCUAUGCAAUGUCUAUUUCCCUCAACAUUUUCAAUUAUUCAUCUAUGUAAUACUUUUUUUAUAUUAUAAUAUUUUAUUUUUUAACCUCGAUAUUUUACCGAUAGUUUAAAUAAUUUUAUACCUUAUUAUAGACUUGUAUUUAAGUUCAUUAUCAUUUUAAGUAAAAAAAAUCGUGUUAUGAAUUUGUCACAGAAUUUGACGCUAUUUUUUUAUGAUUGUUAUUUUAAUUCUACAUGCAUUAAAUGUUUAUGUGUGCAUGAGUUUAGUGUUUACUUACUCUCUCUUAUAUUCUUUUUCUAUAUAGAUAAAUAAAUUUUGAUUGUCAUUAAUGAAAUAUUUUCAAAAUUAUAAUUUAAAAUUUAUUUAAAAUAUAAAUAGGUAAUCAUUUAGGAAUUUAAUCAUUAUAAAAUGUAUCUCUAUUUUUAUUAAUUAUUUUCUUACAUAAUCUAUAUUGGAAUAUGUUUAUAAGGUUACGACUAGAGCCGUCAAUAUGGGCUAGGCCUGUUGGGCCGGCCUGGCCUAACCCGAGAUUUAAUAGGGCUGGGCUAAAAUUUUUGGAGCCCAUUUAAAAAAAGGGCUUUUUAGCCCGGCCUGAAUAAGCCUGCUGAUUUGUGAGGCUUGAGAAAUAUAGGUAGGGCCGUCCCGUGGACUAAUACAAAUUAAUUAAAAAAUAUAAUAUAAUAUUAAAAUUUAAAAUUAAAGAGAUCCAAACUCAAAAUCUAUUUAAAGUUUUUUAGGAAAUCACUAAGUAUAAAAGUUGCAUCCACCAUGAAAAUGUCCAAACACUUGUUGCUACUCGAAACUGGUUACAUGGUUUUUCUCAAACUGGUAAUAUAUUUUUGUGUACAUUUAAAUAUUAUAAUUCUCAAUUUAGUUAUUUUUUAAUAUUUAACUAAUUGAAACCGCAUAUAAAUUGCAUAUGAAAAUGAAGAUGUUAAGACAACCUUCCCACAAGUUGAUUCAGAUAUGCUUGAUGAAGAUGAUCAUGAAGUGUUAGAUACGCCAUAGGUUUCAUGAAGUNNNNNNNNNNNNNNNNNNNNNNNNNNNNNNNNNNNNNNNNNNNNNNNNNNNNNNNNNNNNNNNNNNNNNNNNNNNNNNNNNNNNNNNNNNNNNNNNACAGUUAGGUUAAUAUUUCUAUUUAGAUAUUUAUACUUUUACUUGAAAAAAACUUAAUAAAUAUUAUAAAGAUAAUUUUAUUUGUGGAUUUGAUUAACAAGUAGUAACAUUAACACCAUGUAAUAUUGUUUUGUCGAUAUUUAUGAUAAUAUUUUUAAAUUAUAAUUUAUAAUUUAAUUUAAUAAUUAUAAAAAAAUAUAUAACUUUUAAAAAAGUGGGCUGGCCCGGCAAGCCUGUAGCCCACGUGCUUGUGGGUUGGGCCGAUUGUUUUCUGGCCCACACCAAAAAUGGGCUAGCCUGGCCUGGCCCGUAAAAUGUCAAAGCCUGUAUAGGUUAGCCCGGAUGGGGUGGGCUAGCCCAUAUUGACAGCUCUAGUUACGACUUUCUGUUAUUUUCACUAGAUAUUAAAGCUUUGAUUAUUAUUAAAAUACUUCUUAUUCUACUCAUUUAUUUAAUUAUAGAACAUCAUUAACAUAAACAAUGAAUUAGUUAUUCUCGCUUUUUUUUUAGAUAAGGGUAACUUAGUACUUCUCACUUUUUUCUUAUCUCAAAAUAUUUUCUAUAAGUAAUUUGUUACAUAGAUUUUAAAAAAAUAUACCAUGAUUUUAAAGAAGUAAAAAACUGAUAAAGGUUGAUAAUGUAACGGUAAAAUAGACAUUUAAAAAUAUCAAUUGAUAUUUGGGGAGAAUGUCUAUUGUUCAAAGUUGAGGGGUAGUUUGAUUUUUGAAGCAAAGUUGGGGGUGUAAUGAUAUUUUUUUAACAUGUUGUAAUGGAAAAUUGUUAACUUUUGAAAUUACUUGAGCUCACCAAGAUUGGCCUUGGAUAUUUUCUAUAUUAGAUCAUGAAACUACACAUGCUAGUGUAGGCGUAGAACCAACCUUAGGUUUGGAACUAUGACAAAGUGCCCCAUGAGAGGGUAUUGUGCUUUCUUGGUAGUAUUAGUGAUAUCUCUCGAUUGAUAUUAGAAUAUAUCUUGAUUGAUUUUUCAUUACGUAGUAUCUCAUUAGUGAUUUAGUUUCUAUUAUGAUUAGGAGAAGAUCACAAUACUUUAUUAGUUGAUUCUUUCCUUAUUUGUUGUUUACUCUCUUGUAUAAAUACACAUACAUAAUAAUAAAAUAAACACUUCUCUCCAACAGUAAAGUCUAUAUGGUAUCAAGAACCUAAAAGCAUCACUGCAUUUUUUUUUUCUUCCUGAACAUUUGUGUUUUCCUGCUGCCAAUAACAAUGGUUUCAACCAAUUACUCUGCUGAGAACACCUCAACCACACCUUCUCCAGUAGUUGUACCAAAUUCUCCCACGAUUCUCACCAUAAAUAACAAUGAGCAGUUGAUCAAUAUCAACAUUGUUGCUAGGCACCUCUAAAGCUCAACAAUACAAACUAUCAGUCAUGGAAAUACCAAUGGGAAACCAUCCUCACUACAUAUGAUUUCCUCCACUUUAUUGAACAAUCACCAAGUUCAACCACACCUUAUUUGUUGUUUACUCUCUUGUAUAAAUACACAUACAUAAUAAUAAAAUAAACACUUCUCUCCAACAGUAAAGUCUAUAUGGUAUCAAGAACCUAAAAGCAUCACUGCAUUUUUUUUUUCUUCCUGAACAUUUGUGUUUUCCUGCUGCCAAUAACAAUGGUUUCAACCAAUUACUCUGCUGAGAACACCUCAACCACACCUUCUCCAGUAGUUGUACCAAAUUCUCCCAUGAUUCUCACCAUAAAUAACAAUGAGCUGUUGAUCAAUAUCAACAUUGUUGCUAGGCACCUCUAAAGCUCAACAGUACAAACUAUCAGUCAUGGAAAUACUAAUGGGAAACCAUCCUUACUACAUAUGAUUUCCUCCACUUUAUUGAACAAUCACCAAGUUCAACCACACCUUAUUUGUUGUUUACUCUCUUGUAUAAAUACACAUACAUAAUAAUAAAAUAAACACUUCUCUCCAACAGUAAAGUCUAUAUGGUAUCAAGAACCUAAAAGCAUCACUGCAUUUUUUUUUUCUUCCUGAACAUUUGUGUUUUCCUGCUGCCAAUAACAAUGGUUUCAACCAAUUACUCUGCUGAGAACACCUCAACCACACCUUCUCCAGUAGUUGUACCAAAUUCUCCCAUGAUUCUCACCAUAAAUAACAAUGAGCUGUUGAUCAAUAUCAACAUUGUUGCUAGGCACCUCUAAAGCUCAACAGUACAAACUAUCAGUCAUGGAAAUACUAAUGGGAAACCAUCCUUACUACAUAUGAUUUCCUCCACUUUAUUGAACAAUCACCAAGUUCAACCACACCUUAUUUGUUGUUUACUCUCUUGUAUAAAUACACAUACAUAAUAAUAAAAUAAACACUUCUCUCCAACAGUAAAGUCUAUAUGGUAUCAAGAACCUAAAAGCAUCACUGCAUUUUUUUUUUCUUCCUGAACAUUUGUGUUUUCCUGCUGCCAAUAACAAUGGUUUCAACCAAUUACUCUGCUGAGAACACCUCAACCACACCUUCUCCAGUAGUUGUACCAAAUUCUCCCAUGAUUCUCACCAUAAAUAACAAUGAGCUGUUGAUCAAUAUCAACAUUGUUGCUAGGCACCUCUAAAGCUCAACAGUACAAACUAUCAGUCAUGGAAAUACUAAUGGGAAACCAUCCUUACUACAUAUGAUUUCCUCCACUUUAUUGAACAAUCACCAAGUUCAACAACCACACCUUUUCAUCAACGACAAGACCAUCUCAUCCGGAGUGCCAUUUGCCUCUAUAUCUUCUGAUAUUGUUCCCUUUGUCAUUGUUGACAAAUUUUCACGUGCUCUCUAACAAAAUCUGGCAGCAACCUAUGUGAAGCCAUCACAUGCUCGUAUAAUGCGUCUUAGAGAAUCUCUAAACAAAAUGAAAAGGGUAACCUCUCAAUUACUUCAUAUCUGAAGAAGAUCAAACAAAUUUGCAGCACUUUAGCCUCUGCUGGCAUCCAAAUUUCAAUGGAUGAGCUCUUCCUUCAUGCUCUUCAUGGACUUACAGCUGAAUAUGACACUAACAUUGCAGCUCUACAUGCCCAAGAAACUCUAGUGACAUCUGAAGAGCUUCAUGUGAAGCUCCCCACGUCUUUUUCUUGGAUACUCACAAAAUCAAAGUGUUUACCUUUGUUUUGUUCCUAUGAAGUCUAGACUAGAUUAUGUCUCCAGGCACAAGGACUUUCUGGAGCAUCAUUUUCCAUACUCAUCUAUGGAAAUUAAGGCCAAUCACCUUGGGUCUAACACUGUUGAUAUAUGGGUUCUCUCUCAUCAUAUUAUUCCAUUUACAUCAAGCCUAUUUGGUAACUCCUCCCAUUAGAUCUACAACAUCGAAUUCAGGAAGUACAUCUCUUGAGGCCGCCACCAAUAAUCACUUUUCAUCAGAAGAGCCUGAGAAAUCCAUCACAUUUUUCCCAGGUAUAUUUUCUUCCACCUUUUCUUCUACUUCUGCUUCCUCAUCGUCAUCAUCAGUACCAACCCCUUCCACUUCUCCAUUCCUUCUUUUGUCCCUAUACCAAAUCAUCCCAUGGUUACCCGUUCUAAAAACAAUAUUAGUAAGCCAACUCAAAAACUUUAUCUCAAUGCUACUUUAUCUCCUCAAGCCAAAUCAUCCCCUGUUGCACAACCUUCUAAAUUACAAAUCACUUCCUCAAAUACCCAUAGCAAACCCAAGCCUACCAAAUCCUUGAUUUCUUUCAAUUCAAUACCCAAACCUAUUUAACCUAGGAAUAUUAGCAAAGCAUUAAAAGAUCCUAAAUGGCGUGCUGCUAUGAAAAAGGAAUUAUCGGCUCUUAAAGGUCAAGGCACAUGGUCUCUUGUACCAGCAAAUCCUCAUGCUAAACCUGUCGAGUCUAAAGUGGGUUUUUCGUGUUAAAAACAAUUCUAAUAGAAGUAUUAACUACUAUAAAGCCUGACUUGUUGCUAAAGGUUUCUUGCAACAUCAAGGUGUUGAUUAUGGUGAAACACAUUCUCCAGUACCAAAGCAUACCACAGUGCGUUUUAUUCUCUCAUUGGCUGCCUCAUUUGAUUUGCAACUUCAUCAAUUAGAUGCUAACAAUGCCUUCUUGCACGGUACUCUAAUUGAAGAAGUUUAUAUGUCUCAACCUCCUGGGUUUGUGAAUGAGACAUACCCCACUCAUGUUUGUCAGCUUCACAGAGCAAUUUAUGGGCUUAACCAGGCUCCACGAGCAGGGUAUGAGGAACUCAAAUCCUAUCUUAUUUCAUGUGGAUUUUGCCACUCUCAGUUAGAUCAUCACUUAUCUAUUUAUGCUAAAUCUGGAGUUAUGCUCUAUCUCAUUGUCUAUUUUGAUAAUCUAAUUAUCACGGGUAAUCAUCAAAGUUCGGUGGAAGAUUUUAUUGGGUGUCUUUCUAAUCAUUUCUCUAUUAAAGAUCUUGGUGAUUUGCAUUUUUUCUUGGGUGUUCAAGUUAUUCGCUCACCUUCUGAAAUUUUCUUAAGUCAGUAGAAGUAUAUCUAUGAAAUCUUAGACUGAGCAAACAUGGUUGAAGCUAAUCCCAUGUGCACACCAAUGGCAAGCAGAUCUUGUCCCAUAAGUAGUGAUGGCUCUUUACUUAAGGAUCCUAAAGAAUAUCAGAGUAUAGUUGGAAGUUAACAAUAUCUUCACCUUACUAGACCGAAUGUUGCCUUUGCUGUAAGUAAAUUGUCUUAGUUUACAAGUGCUCCAACGACUACACAUUGGGUUAUGGUCAAACUAGUUCUUCGCUACCUUGCUAGCACAUCUACUAAUGGUUUGUUUCUUUGCAAAGGCAAGUCACUAAAUACGCAUGCCUUCUUCGACGCAGAGUGGGCAGGUCAUCGUGAAGAUCGCUCCUCUACUACACCAUACAUUGUGUUUUUAGGCUCCAAUCCAAUCUCAUGGAGUUCAGAGAAGCCAAGUAUUGUUGCUCGCUCAUCCACAGAAGCUGAAUAUCGGGCUAUUGCUUCAGUGUCAGCUGAAAUUUGUUGGGUCCGUAAUUUUCUUCAGAAGUUAUCUGUUUUUCUCAAGGAACCACUAGUUAUCUACUGUGACAACCUUGGUGCUACCUAUGUGUGUGCUAAACCAGUUUUUCAUUCCAGAAUGAAGCACAUCGAGAUUGACCAUCAUUUUGUUCGAAAUCUCUGCCAACAAGGCCUGCUACGUGUUUCUCAUGUUUCAUCCCGAGACCAGUUGGUUGAUCUUCUUAACAAGCCGCUUUCAAAAGCUCCAUUUGAAGCACUAAGGUCCAAGAUUGGUAUAUCAGACUGAUCUACCAUCUUGCGGGGGCAUAUUAAUGAUAUCUCUGGAUUGAUAUUAGGAUUGAUAUUAGGAUAUAUCUUGAUUGAUCUUCCAUAUCUUAGUAUCUCAUUAGUGAUUUAGUUUCUAUUAUGAUUAGGAGAUCACAAUACUUUAUUAGUUGAUUCUUUCCUUAUUUGUUGUUUACUCUCUUGUAUAAAUACAUAUACAUAUUAAUAAAAUAAACACCUCUGUCCAGCAGUUAAGUUUAUAGCUAGCAUGGGUGAGUCGAUUCGUGUGGCACAACGAUGAGACGACUUGAGUAAGUAGGGUAUAUGACAAUAAGUACAUAGCCUAGUUGUUUUCAAGUUGUGUCUGUGAUAGAGUGGUACUCCCUGUAAAUUAAAAAAGUUUCUUUAUUUCAUAAGGCUUGGUGCUUAAAAAUUGGUUAGGAACAUGUUUUUUUUAUGACCAGUUAGGAACAUGUUUUACUUAUUGUACUAUCUCUUCGACUCAAUCAUUAAUUGAUAUAAUGUUCCUUUCUAUAUCAAUUUUAUAUAAAAGAAUAGUAUGAUAGUUCUUUAGGACUGCAAAUGCUGAGCCUUACCAAAAGUAUCUACAGAGAUGUGGAGUUUUCCUUUGGUUACUCAUAUAGCAUUCAGGAAUGAAACUCUCUGCCUAGUGCAUUUUUCUUUUAAAGAGUGUUGGUUAAAGAACGUAUUCAUGCUUUGGUUUUAAAUUGUUCAACAUGCUUUGGUUUUAAAUUGUUCAAAUGACGAUGUUUUUAAAUUCCAAAAGAUUUCCGCAUGUAUCUAUUGAGCAUAUAGAUGAGCUCUCUUGUAUGGUUUGGUUCGUUCGGGUUAGGUAGAGCAUCAAGUGCCGGUCACGUGGAUUCCGGGGUGUGAUGCUAAAGAGUGUAUUUGGUAUGGAGGAAAUUAUUUUUCAGAAAAUGCUUUCCAAUUUUUCUAUGUUUGAUUGAUCAAAAUGUUUUGGGAAACAUUUCUCCAAGACAAAAGUUCCUUAAAAUAAGGAAUAUAACUUACGUAAUGGAAGCAAGGAAAACAAGUUCUAUAAGUGACACUCCACGUCAAAUGUCUCCUCCCUACCCACCCAACACUCCAAUCCCUACCCCUUCACCAUCCCACCUAAGCCACCCCCCAUCCCCAUCCCAUAUAAUUUUGCUAGUCUAAGGGUUCACACACUUCCAUUUCGAGGUUCCAACAAAUGCUAUGAAGCUUACCACCUGAUAUGUCCUUCAGCCCCUGGUAUAGUAUGCAUCAAGAUGAUUUGUCUUGCAGCAUAUGAAGGGAAGGAAACAUUCAUAACGGCGACACCCUGAGAUUCAAGGGAUUAUACCUAAUCCCAUCAAGAUUCCACGAUCUUCUCGCAUAAAACGACGAAGACAUGUGUAGGGUUAGGGAGGUUGGCCAGUUGAGUCAAUCCAAUAUUUAUUUGAAUCCCUUAGUUGUACCCAUCUAACCUUUUAUUUAAAUACAAUAUUACACUCUAAAUCUGACAAUUGCUCAACAUCCAUUCAUCAAGCAAUUUUCAUUACAGUUCCAAAUUCCAUUUUAUUACUCAGUUCUGUAAUUAGUGUCAUACACACAAGUUUACACAUUUUACAGGACCUUUAACUCAAGAAGCAAUACAUUCUUAAAGUUGUCAAAUUGCAAGAGAUCUCACCUCAUCCACUUUCCAGAGGCCCUCUUCAUACUUAUACCACCUCAUCAGCCCUUCAUCAUUUCGAGUGCGCUGACACAUGAUGCAUGAGUCACUCAUGCAAGUUAGGAAUUUGCAUAACCUAGAUGCUUUUUCAAGGAUUAAUUCAUCAAGCUCAGUCAGAAUUUUCUUUGGUGCAGGUGGAGGAAGGUCUUCAAUAACUAUGCAAUUAGAUAUGUUGAGCACUUCCAACUUUUUUAACCCGUCCAAGAUAGUAACCAAGACACUUUUAGAUAACACUGUGCACCUCACACUCAACACUUUCAAGUUUGGAAGAAAUGAUACCAGUGUAGAUGCAAAGAGCAUAUCACAGGGCCCCAAAAUCUUGAGCUCAGCAAAAAUUUUGCAACUCAUUGCAAUUUCCUCCAUGACAAAUGGAGGAUUCACUAUACUAGGCAUCAUCAGUGAUUCAAGAUCUUCCCACAUACGAAUAGCCCUGCAAAUUCCUGUCUUUUCUAUUCUGUUCCAAGCAGGCAUAACAAGACGUUUAAGACGAGGACACCUGAAAAAGACGCAAUUUAAUUAACAGUUUUCUUCAUUCUCACAAUAAAUUUUGCAUCUCCUGAAUUUGAAUAAUGGAAAAUCAUAGGGCAUCUGAGAUGUUAGAUACCUGAACUCUGGAAUGAUGCUUGCUGUCGGUUUCUUGAUUUAAGUUAUAGUACAAUAGAAAGUUGAAGGUUUAUAGGGGGAAUACCUCUCAGCUGUAUAAGUCAACUGGUCGUUGCAGACAUACAAAUUGUAAUGGAAGAUCAAUGUUAGUAUGUUUCCACAACUGAGGUUCAAGCAAAUCUUUAGGAGGCAGGUCAAUGUUUUAUCAGACUGAGUCCACAUAUACGUACGGCUCUCGCGGCGUUUGAUGAAGUUUGAUUUUAGUACCGACAAGUCCAGCGUCUUCUAGAGAAGUUGAUCACAACAAGCCAAUCGCCACGCACUACAAACAUGAGCAACUCCAGCAGACAGCUCAAAACGGUCAAAGAACGUGAGUAUCUUCAACAAGAUAUCAUUAUCAAGGUCCUCCCAUCUCCUUACAGGAAAAUCUCCUUCCUCCAUCACAAAAAACUUCAAUUUCCUGAACUCCUGUAGAAACAAGAAAGGUUAUUACUUCUCUAGAUCCAUGAAGAAUAUUUGAAUUCCUGACAACAAAUUAAUGUUGCUGAUUGCCAUUUUGUAUUCUUGUGAAUAUACUCAGACCAUGAAGCAGAAAAGUUAAGCCUUGCAAUAUGAAGAAGCAUAAAAGAAUGUACAAAUACAUCUGAGGAGCACUGGGAUUCCAAAAAGUGAAGAAACUAGGAAAAUUUGAACUGGAACUUAAGUUGGUCAUAGAAAACGAGAGAGAACUAAGUUCUUGCUGCAAUAGCUGUCGGAAGUAUCACAUUUUGGAUAAAUAUUGACAUUACUGAAAGCAAAAUGAUACAAAAAGGAGGACGUAGCAUCGAUUUGCACAUAAAAGUCCCUUGAGAGGAAAAUUCAGUGUCCUUAGAUUAGAAUGGAAAAGCUGAAGACUUGUUAUAUAUUUUGAAGAACAAGACAAGAACAAAGAGAACUGGGGAAUGGGACAAGUGUCUGCGGAAAAAGAUGCAUAUAGUUUCCAACAGCAAUGAUCUAUAUAGCCAACCCCGACUUGUUUGGGAUUGAGGUGGAGUUGCACUUUACAACAGCAAUGAUUCAAACUUAAACUAGUUGAGGUCGGCUAUAGGAACACUCAAUAUCCAUUCCGCUCCAUUUGGAAUAGUUUCAUUCCAAUACUAAGAUAAUUGAUUAUUAAGGAUUCUCUAUUACUGACUUUUACUUGAUAAAACAAAAAUGGUUAUAAGGCACUGUUCAAAAAAAGAAAAUGCUCUCAGGCACGAAAACCAAAAAUCUUCUCUCUUCUACUUCCUAGGAGGGAGAAACAUCUUUUCUUGACACUUUUCCGGCACUUCUUACCGGAAAACCUCUCUCUCACCUUCCUGAGUUAUCACCUUCUGUGGUUACUCUCUUCCUUUUUCCUUCUUUGAGCAUUUCUCUCAGCCAGAAACUAUAUUUUAAAGGAUGGAGGACAAUAGGAUCUAUUUCAAGGUUUAAGUCAUUCGAUAUUACUAGGUGGGAAAAUGACAAGUCUGAAUGGUAUGAAUGGGUGGAAAGGAGUAGGAAAAUGAUGCGAAGGUCCGCUGUGAGCAGAAAAGCUAUGGAGUGGAUAUGCUUUUGUAUGAAAAGAGGCCUCGAAAGAUCAGAAGAUCAGGAGAUGGAGAUUUUUUUUAACCUCAAAGGCAUCUCCUGGACCAUGCCCAAGAAGGUCUCAGGCUUUGAAGAGUUGGGAGGCAACAGGGGUGAAUGCAAAGGACAGAAACAGAUGGAGAAUCAACCCUGCUAGUAGAUGGUGGACUAUUUGGAAAGAAAGGAAUUCUAGGUGUUUUGAGAGCAUAGAAAACGAUGUCCUGAAAGUCAAGUUAAACUGCAUUUUAUUGGUUAUGUUUUUGGUGUAAUCAAGUAUACUCCAAUGACACUGUAUCGGUAAUUGAUGUUUUAGACUCAAUGUAGACCGAAAACAGUGGAAAAGGAGACAUUUGUAUAUAAUGGUUUCAGUACAAGGGUUGUACUGUUUUGUGAUAUAAUACAAAGUUACCUAUUUCAAUAAAUAGACAAAAAAAAAGGAUUCUUUAUUACCUAUUUCAAAAAAAAGACAAAAAAAGGAUUCUUUAUUACUAAUUACCUGUUAAAAAAAAGGAUUCUCUAUUACUUAAGGUUAUCUAUAUUUUCUACCAAAAUGCAAAUUAGUAAUGAACAAAAAGGACUCCUGGCAAACAACAUACUAAUUUAAGUGUAGCAACAUUAAAAAAACCUUAUCCUAUCCAUUGGAAUUACUAUGGAUCUUGUGCUUCAUUUAUAUUUUGUUGUUUGCUAAUUCAACAAGAAUCUCAAGAACUUAUAAGUCCUUUAAGACAACUUUGUCCAUGUGAUUGAAUUGUUUACCUCGUCCAUUAACAUUCAACCAUCAUAGUGUCACACCGGUGCAUCUGAACUUCUAAUUGUAGGCAUUUCCAAACUACAAUUCAGGGACUUCUUUACUUUUAUCUUCUACAGGUGCUUUUUGUACCUUGUCAUAAUCAUCACUUAUUUUGUCUAGUUUUGUAUGACCACACACAGUCAUACCAUUCACAUUUUUACAACACUCAUUUUUUUGAUAUAUCGGAUCUCAAACACCCAACACUCGCGCCAUAAAUCAUCAUUGGUCUCACAACUGUCUUAUAAAACCUAUCUUUCACGCUGGUAUGUAUCUCCAUAUCGCAUACCACUCCUCCAUUUCAACUACAGGGCUUUAAAUUAUGUGUUGCAUCUUCGUCGAUCAGACUAUCACAAUUCACUCCAUUGAUGUGGAAACACAACCUAGACACAUGAAUGAUCUAUGUGAACUCACUUUGAUGAUCUCAGGACCUGAUUUAAGAAGUGGUGUGACAUUAUGUCUAGAGAUUGAAUAGAGAAAUGGUAUUACUGUUUAUCCUUACAGUAAGGAAUUGAUAAGAGAAAUGGUAUCAAGUAUUUUGCAAUGUCCCCAAAUAAAGUGUCAUAUAAAUUGGGAGAAUUAGAGUGUUGAUAACAAGUCUUCAACAACAUAACCAAUAAUAGUUAGUAGCGGGAUCUGUUCUAAAUUGAAAGCUAAACUAGCAAGUAAAACUGAUGAAUUGGCAAUCCUCUUCCAACAAAAGCUCGAAAAAACAACUAAUUUUAGAUUAAAACUUAGCAUCUAAAAGCACAAAAAAAAACAUGGGACUUGAGUCCUACAUUGAUACAGAAAUGUGUUGAUGUGGGGCUUAUAUAAUCUUGGGUUCUCCCAUUUCAAUAGCUACCUUUUAGGGUGUUAUUCUCCCUGAGUUAUUCAAAGGGUAUGAAAUCCACCCACUACCCUUCCUACUCAUCUUGCUAUGAAUGGUGAUGCAGGUAUUGCAGUGUUCCCUCGGGACUAGCUGUUUUUGUCGCACGUUUACUAAAGCAUUCUCUUGCUCAACUUUUUCAGUGAUGUCUGUGAUUUCUCAUUAAAGGUAAGAUUAUUAAUAUCCUACCUUAUACAGUAUAUCCCUCCAACCCAAUAGCCAUACAUUUUUCAAUUGCCUUCCAAAUAAAGUAAGGAAAUUUAAUCCUGAGAUUUUGUUAGGCUGUUCUCCUAAGCCCUAAUUUUCUUUUCAUGAAUUUGGAAGCUCAAAUGUUUUUCUCUUUUGCAUCUUCUGGAUGCUUUCAGUGAAACUUUGUACUUUGUCAAAAUAAAAAAUAAAAAAUAUUUCCCAUCAAUCUCUCUAACUACUAAUCAUGUAUCCAGAAUUUAUAGGUUAGAUGCCCCAAAACCCAAUUUUCUCUAUGUAAAAAAAAAGACGGAAUAACCAAAGCACCAUUUGCAUUUAACAUAUGCAACUAAAACAAGCUGUAAUAAUUUUCCAAAAGAAGCAACGUUCUCGAUUGGAGUACAACGAAAAAUGAAUCGUCGCAAUAACAAAAUGAUAAAUCACAAGUAAAUUAACACCAAUCUCAACAAAGAUUUAAACUUUAAGAACAAAAAGAUCUGCAUUUGAUCAUACCAUACUAAUAAUUGAAAUGCUGAAAACCAAGAAACAAAACUCAGACAAGCAUAAAUUCAAACUUGUAUGGGCAAAACUCAAUUGUUUCUGCAGUUAAAUUCCAUCAAGUGCCAAAGAAGGGGGAAAACGGUCCACAGGGUAUACACUAAAUUCUCUUAAAUGAAAAGAACUAAGCAGGCCCAGACAUCAGGGGAAAGUUGUUUUGGGCCAACAACUCUUGUGGGCCAAAAAGACAGACAAUUCUGAAACCCAUUUAGGUUUUAAUGAGAAGGAACGAGAGGACCGAAUUAGAGACAUAAAUGGGCUUUCAGCCAUUAAGUCUUUAGCCUCUCAGUUCCUGGAAGCAGUCAAAGCGUGGGAGAAUUCAACAGAGGAUGUAAUAAAGGAGAAGAUGGCAGGAGAAAGAGUAGCAGGUGAGAAGAACCACAUGCAAACACAAAAAUCAAAACAGAUCAUUGAAUUGAGUAGCAUGAGUGAGCAUUCCGAAGAAGAGAUUACGACCAAAGAUUUUAACCAGACGGAACUACAGCUGCAACAAAUCCUUGAUGCUGAACCAAUGGCUAUGCAGAACUUGACAGAGGAAGAUCUGGCUGAAACCGAGGCAUCAAAUUGGGUUAAUUCACAUAUAUUGGAGUUGAGCAACACGUAUGGGGUAGCAUUUGAAGGAUUUGAGAAGGAAACACUUGCACUACUCAUGAGAAUCAAUGGAAGGAAAACAGAGCUUGAUAACAAGAAGCAGGGGAAAGCUAUUACCACCCCAAAAAGUAGGGGCAUAGGUAAGAAUGAAUUGAAGAAGCUUCAACGUAGUCUUAACAAAGAGGUUGAAGGUGCUAGAAACAGGGGGAGGGUUCUAAAUCUGACCUUUAAAUGAAUAUUAAACUGAUCACAUGGAACGUGAGGGGUCUUAACAACAACACUAAUAAGAACCUUUUUUGAUAAAGACAACACUAAUAAGAACCUGGUUAAGACGUGUUUGCAAAAAUGGAAAGCGGAUGUGGUUUGCCUACAGGAAACCAAGGUGAAUAAGGGGAUUGCAUAUCAACUAUGGUCUUGCAGAUGGGUGAAACUCGGGUUCAUUGAAGCAGAUGGAAGCAAGGGGGAGUUACUUCUUAUGUGGGACAGUAGAGUAUGGACAGGCACUAAGGUGGAGGAAGGGACCUAUUCAAUCACUUACAAAUUUGAGUCUACACAUAAUUACUUUCCCUGGUAUUUCACUGGAGUAUAUGCCCCACACAGAAGAAACGAAAAGUUAGAGUGUUGGGAAGAGAUGGCUGCAAUGAAGGAGUUGUGUGGAAGACCGUGGGUCACAGGUGGAGAUUUUAACACUGUGAGGCACAUGGUGGAAAGAAGGGGGUACAACAGAGUCACAACGUCAUGAAUGAUUUCUCUAGAUGGAUUGAAGAAUUAGAGCUACAUGAUCCUUGUCUAAUAGGAGGAAAAUUCACCUGGUUCAGAGGAAGUAACCACCAAAGUGCAGCUGGACCCCAUUUGAAAAAGAGAAGGCUCACAACAGUCCAUUAUUAUUUGGAUUUAGGCUCAAUAGUGUUAUGAAUGGGCCUAGACCAGUAUUGACAAAGCAGCCCAAAGCCGAAUUAAAAGGCUAUGUGUGGGAUCCGGGUUGAUAAAUAGAGACUUGGGAGAGCAAAAUAGGUUUAUGCAAAUUAUGUGAAGCUUUGGCUUUCUGAUCCUCUCAUCUCCUUUCUAUGGUCUAGAAUCUCAUCCCCUUCUAGUUACCUUCUUCUAUGUUAUCUAUCUACAAUUAGUGUGUUGUUACUUUGUUGUGGGUAUUAUACGUUGUAACUUGUAUUCCGUAAUAACAAUAUAUAUAUCAGUGUUUGUGUUGAAAAUUGAGUUUGUUACAUUGGUGCUUUCAUCCAGAGGUUUCUCAUGGAGGACCAAAGACUCAAGGCUCUCAUCAAUGAAUCCAUUAAGGAGGCGAAAGAGUCAUUUUCCAAAGAUAUUGCAGACAUUCGCCAUAUGUUACAGGAGGUUACCGGAAAGUUCGUUCCGGCAGGGCCUCACAUUCGAGAUCCAACAAUGGAGGUUGCUCGUCCUCAUCACGGGAAAGACACUCUUGAAGCCCCCACACUCCGUCAUAGGCCAGCUCCGGUGGAACUAGGACGAUUUCGUGGUGAAAAUCCAGAGGCGUGGAUUUUCCAAGCUGAAUGCUAUUUUGAUUUUUACGGAAUCGUAGAAACGCACAAGCUAACCUUGGCAUCCUUUUAUCUCAACGGUGAAGCUUUGGAAUGGUAUCAAUGGUUGUUUUGCAACAAACAACUGGCUGGCUGGGACCAUUUUGUGGACAAAUUGCUGAUUCGUUUUCGCUCCCGUACUAGGGACAAACAACGCGAGUUCUUACCCAUUCCCAGAAACAAGAAUCAUAGGGCAGUGGAGUACUCUCAGGCGGUUAGUCCAUCGUUGGUUAAUAUUGAGACUUUGGGUCCCAUGUUGGACUCCAAAUAUGACUUGAAGAACAACCCAAACGGCUAUGCCUGCAAGGUGUUCGCUGAAAUGCCCGAUAAGAAAAUUGACAUGGAAGUCGAACAUCCAGUGAUAACUGAUUCAACAAAUCUGGCAUCCCAUAUGUUUGAUGAAAAUUUUCAAACAGUUUCUGCAUUUAAGGGAGAGUACGGUGAGCUUAUCAUGUUUGAUAAUAAUUGUCUUGCACUACCUUGUUUGCCUUCGAUUUUUAGUCGCACCCAACUUAUGGGAAGAUCUAUAUUUGAUUACUUCAAGGAAUUCGGUCAUGCUAACCUCCCAUUAUCGUUGUAUCGAUUUCCACCUGAUCAUUUCGGGUUCAGCUUUCCAUUUGAUCCUGGUUCUAGUUUGAAAGUUGGAGUCGCGCUGUGAUAAUUUGGAGCAAUGUACUGCUCAUCGGUAAAGUUGCAAGAGAACUGCCUACACCUGCUUCUAACUUGCUGAUGUUAGUAUGUAUAGCUUCCUUAAUAGCUCCAAUGAGAAUCCUCACAAUGAUAUCAAAUUGGUACUACUUGAACCUUGAGGACAAGGUUCUUAUUGGGGCUGAAGGUAUUGUUAUGAAUGGGCCUAGACCAGUAUUGACAAAGCAGCCCAAAGCCGAAUUAAAAGGCUAUGUGUGGGAUCCGGGUUGAUAAAUAGAGACUUGGGAGAGCAAAAUAGGUUUAUGCAAAUUAUGUGAAGCUUUGGCUUUCUGAUCCUCUCAUCUCCUUUCUAUGGUCUAGAAUCUCAUCCCCUUCUAGUUACCUUCUUCUAUGUUAUCUAUCUACAAUUAGUGUGUUGUUACUUUGUUGUGGGUAUUAUACGUUGUAACUUGUAUUCCGUAAUAACAAUAUAUAUAUCAGUGUUUGUGUUGAAAAUUGAGUUUGUUACAAAUAGUCCCUACUCUCUCGAAGGUCUACCUAUGUAUGAAGGAAAAUUUGUUCAAAUUGCCUAGAGAUUUUGUUUCUCACCUAUAAUUACUUCAAGUUAAUUACUUAGUAUGUAAAUAUGCUUCUGGCUGAAUGAUUGGAAGUUCAUUAUACCUGCAAGGCUUCCUAGCGGUUGUUAAAUGGGUAGAGAUUCAAUCGACUAGGUGACAAUAUUAGUACAAGUCAAAAGCUGUAAAUUGAGUUGGCUGUGAUAAAAUCUCUCCGCAUGGAUAGAUAUGGUAUGACUAAUUUAGUAGAACAUUAAUAUUCUACAAUCAGUAACUUUCUUUUUUUCCUCUACCAAAAGUUCCCCAACUUUCCACAACAAAAAUCUAAUAAUUCUAAAAUUCAAAGUCAAAGCUUCACAUAGAAAGUAAAAAAGAUGGAAAAAAUGAAGAUUCUGGCGAAAGAAAACCUACCCAGGAAACAUAAUAGCUUAGAACUCUUAUAAAAGUAAAAAGUUACCUGAUAGAUCUGAGCCUUGAUUGCCAUCUUCUUUGAAUCAGACCCAUCAAUUCCUCUUCAGAAUCACUGUGCGUGGCAUCUCUUCCUCGAAAUCUCGGGUGGUGACCAUGAUCAGCUGAACCAGAAAUCUCCGAAACAACAUAGUAGAAAGUAAUAUAGGUUGUCGGAGAGGGAGCUGUGAUAGAAUCUGUCAUAUUUUGCCAUAGCUCUACGGCCAUACUUGUACUUGAAGAAGACGAAGAAGACGAAACCACAAUAUAGCUUCCUCCAACAAUUGAAUGAAAUUGAAAAUUAAUCUACACUAAAAUAACAAAUAACCUUGAGUUUUUUUACAUCAUGCUUGGAUGAUUACUUAUAUUGGAUUUUGGUAAUAUUAGUUUAAAUAUAAUAUUUAUUCAUUUAUUUUUAGUUACUCAAAUUUUAUUGUAUUAGUAUUUAAUUUAAAUGCAACAUUUGUUUGAUAGUUCUGUGUUGUUAGUUUACAUAUUGUUGUGUAUUCUCAUUUAUCUUUAUUUAUUAUUAUUUUAUCUAACUAGUGAAAUUUGAAAAUAAAUAAAUAAUGCAGCAAUCAAAAGUGAAAAUAAGUUUUGUGGUGUUUUUCAAAUUCCAUGUAUAACUUAAAAAUGAAAUGGUAUCAUUGUCAAACGUUGAUUUUCAAAUAAAAAUUUUAAAAAAGUGAUUUUUCUUUAUUAAUUUAUAUGUAAUUUGCAGUUUCAAUAGGUCAAUAAAUUAAGAUCUUACCACAAAGGUUUCUGAACUUAUUUUUCAUGAUUAUCCUAAAAAUAAUAAGAUAAAAUAAGUUGAAUAUAUCAUUUGCAUAUUUUUUAGAUGUACCUAAAAUGUUUGCACCUUUUGUGAACUUCAACACUAUAUUAUCAUAAAGGGAUAAGGGUCUGAAAAUACAUCAACUUUGAUCAGAUUUGUUGUUGCGAUACUAAACUUUCAUGAGGAUCUAUUACCUCCCUAGACUAUUUAAUAUCGUAUUUUUAAACAUUAUAUAUUUGCCCACGUGGACAUAAAAAGUAAUGCAAAAUUAUAAAUAGUAAUGUGUCCACGUGAGCACAUAUAUAUCUUUAAAAUACACUAUUAAAUAAUUCAGCGGAUAAAAAAUACGAUAUUAAAUAGUCUAGGGAGGUAAUAGGUCCUCAUGAAAGUUUAGUAUCGCAACAGCAAAUCCGACAAAAGUUGGGGUAUUUUUCAGACCUUUGUCCCUAUCAUAAAUAUAUUGAUGUUUAAAAAGAAAAAUCUAAACUAUAUCAUUUUGUACUUUCAUACUUCAAUUAUUGAGCAUUCUUGUAACCUCUUGAACUAUUUCCUUUAGAUUGAGAACUCGUCCCAUUAAAUAUGUGACAAAAUAUUUGGAAUACCUUGUUGAGAGACGCGUGGGAGAUAAAAGAAUCCUUAAAAAUGAAUCUACCUAACACAAUGAGUCAUGGUGGUUCAAGAGAUCUGUUCUAAUAAUUUAAAUAUGGAACUCGCAAAACAGUCAUUGAAACUCUACGGAGGAGCUUUUGAACAGUGAUGUAGCAUGUCAUAUUCCUCUCAUUACGAGUUUAUGGUAAUUAAGAGGGGUUCUGUGAAUACCGAAUAGUUUAAAUAUGAAACUCCCAAAAUAGUGAUAGAAAUAAGAAAAGUGAGCUUACAAUGCUUGGCAAUACAUAUGUAAAUGGAUACAAGUCUGUCAAAGAGAAUAGACUAAAAACUUACAAAAUUACAACACAGAAGUAGCAUUACGCUACAUGGAAGAUCAGUUUAUAUGUCUCCCUAUGCUACAAAGCUACUCUCCCUUUUGCCACCAAAAGGAUAAUACUUGCUGCUAGCAAACUGGAUGCUGAUCCACGUCCAUUCAAGAUGACUAGGUUUUAUUAUGUUUCAUAUACACAAAGUUUUACAUAUUUUACUGGAUCUCAACUCAUGAAUCAAAACAUUCUUAAAGUUGUCAAAUUGCAAGAGAUCUCACCUCAUCCACUUUCCAGAGUUCUUCAUACUUAUACCACCUCAUCAGCCCUUCAUCAUUUCGACAGCGCUGACACAUGAUGCAUGAGUCACUCAUGCAGGUUAGGAAUUUGUGUAACCUAGAUGCUUUUUCGAGAAUUGAAUCAUCAAGCUUGGCCAGAAUUUUCUUUGGUGCAGGUGGAGGAUCUUCAGUAAUUACGCAAUGAGAUAUGUUGAGCACUUCCAACUUUUUUAACCCGUCCAAGAUAGUAACCAAGGCACUUUUAGAUAACAAUGUGCACCUCACACUCAACACUUUCAAGUUUGGAAGAAAUGAUACCAGUGUAGAUGCAAAGAGCAUAUCACAGGGCCCCAUUAUCUUGAGCUCAGCAAAAUUUUUGCAACUCCUUGCAAUUUCCUCCAUGACAUACGGAGGAUUAGCUAUACUAGGCAUCGUCAGUGAUUCAAGAUCUUCCCACAUAUGAAUAGCCCUGCAUAUUCCUGUCUUUUUUAUUCUGUUCCAAGCAGGCAUAACAAGACGUUUUAGACGUGGACACCUGAAAAGGAGGAGAUUUAAUUAGCUGUCUUCUUCGUUCUCACAGUAAACUUUGCUUCACCUGAAUUAGAACAAUGGAAGAUCAUAGGGCAUCUGAGAUGUCAGAUGCCUGAACUCUGGAAUGGUGCUUGCUGUCGGAUUCUUGAUUUAAGUUAUAGUACUAUAGAAAGAUGAAGGUUUAUUGGGGGAAUACCUCUCGGCAGUAUAAGUCAACUGAUCGUCGCUGACAUACAAAUUGUAAUGGAAGAUUAAUGUUCGUAUGUUUCCACUACUGAGGUUCAAACAAAUCUUUAGGAGGCUGGUCAAUGUUUUAUCAGACUGACAGUCCACAUAUACGUAUGGCUCUAACGGAAUUUUGAUAUAAUUUGAUUUUAAUAUCGACAAGUCCAGCGUCAUCCAAAGAAGUUGAUCAGAACAAGCCAAUCGCCACGCACUACAAACAUGAGCAAGUCCGGAAGUCAACUCAAAAAGGUCAAAAGACUGGAGUAUCUUCACCAAGAUAUCAAUAUCAAGGUCCUCCCAUCUCCUUACAG